CGGACGGGUGAGUAACGCGUGGAGAACCUGCCGUAUACUGGGGGAUAACACUUAGAAAUAGGUGCUAAUACCGCAUAAGCGCACAGCUUCGCAUGAAGCAGUGUGAAAAACUCCGGUGGUAUACGAUGGAUCCGCGUCUGAUUAGCUGGUUGGCGGGGUAAAGGCCCACCAAGGCGACGAUCAGUAGCCGGCCUGAGAGGGUGGACGGCCACAUUGGGACUGAGACACGGCCCAAACUCCUACGGGAGGCAGCAG
rnacentral:rRNA from 1 species